UACAGAGGUCUCAAGCGUUGUUCGGAUUCAUUGGGCGUAAAGGGUGUGUAGGUGGCGCGCUAAGUCGGGUGUGAAAUUUCGGAGCUUAACUCCGAAACUGCAUUCGAUACUGGCGUGCUUGAGGACUGGAGAGGAGACUGGAAUUCAUGGUGUAGCAGUGAAAUGCGUAGAUAUCGAGAGGAACACCUGCGGCGAAGGCGGGUUGCUGGGCCGACACUGACGCUGAUGCGCGAAAGCCAGGGGAGCGAACGGG
rnacentral:rRNA from 1 species